CGAAAAUAGAGGGUAUACGAUAUGACAUAUACAUCAGCCUCUCUAUCAUUGAUCGAUAUGUGACCGACUCGGACGCUUUGCAAAUCAUUACUUUGCCGGCAUGAUCUUCCAUAAUCAUUAUGGAAGGUCGCUUCAAGCAUCUAUGGCAAUAAUUGCUGCACAUUCUGCAAAACGAUGGAGCCGCCGCAUGUCCUGUGAUGUGAUAAAAUGGCUGCACACUUCACAAGAUGACAAAAUGAUCGAGCACCUUUCUUCGGGAUAGCAAUAAAUAAAAUUCACCAAAGGGAGGAACUCGGAAUUAGGUGCGAAGUUCAAAAUUCUAAGUAACUCCCUUCGUCCAAUACUGCUAUCGCAUUGGACUCGAAAGUUGGAAAAUAAGUGUUGGGGUAAAUCUUCGGCUUACAACCGACUG
rnacentral:lncRNA from 1 species